UGAGGAAUAUUGGACAAUGGGUGAGAGCCUGAUCCAGCCAUCCCGCGUGAAGGACGACGGCCCUAUGGGUUGUAAACUUCUUUUGUAUAGGGAUAAACCUUUCCACGUGUGGAAAGCUGAAGGUACUAUACGAAUAAGCACCGGCUAACUCCGUGCCAGCAGCCGCGGUAAUACGGAGGGUGCAAGCGUUAUCCGGAUUUAUUGGGUUUAAAGGGUGCGUAGGUGGGCAGGUAAGUCAGUGGUGAAAUCUCCGGGCUUAACCCGGAAACUGCCGUUGAUACUAUUUGUCUUGAAUAUUGUGGAGGUAAGCGGAAUAUGUCAUGUAGCGGUGAAAUGCUUAGAUAUGACAUAGAACACCAAUUGCGAAGGCAGCUUACUACACAAUCAUUGACGCUGAGGCACGAAAGCGUGGGGAUCAAACA
rnacentral:rRNA from 1 species